UCCUGGUAGUUUAGCUGGUAAAGAGUCUGCUUGCAGUGUAGGAGACCCUGGUUCAAUUCCUGGGUCAGGAA
rnacentral:tRNA from 1 species